GAUGGCACACCUGCCCAAGACUGGCAUACAGCCUUCACAGCAUUUAGGAACUUGGCCUGUCCCUGCGUCCCCAGGGAUGUAAAGGAAAGGAUGUGGAUGGAAUCCCACCGUGUGUUACAUGUAUCCUGGGAUUUCUAGUGUCUCUUCAGGUCCCUUGGGUCAGACAGAGGUGCCUGGCCCCCUCUGCAUUGUCAGGCUUUCUGUCCUUGAAGUCUAACGUUAUAAUGAAUUCCAAGAGUCAGGCUUUUUGCCCCUAAAAUGAAUUUGUUUCUCAGAUCCAUGUCCCAGUUGCCUUGAAACAAACCAGCCCUUGUGAGGCAGGAAGCAGGGGGCCUCUGUGAGGGAGUCUUACCUGGAAGAGAGCGCCCCUCUGACCUUAGACCUCUCUCCAGAGCUUCAGAGCAGAGACAGGAGCCCAGAAAGGAGCAGAUGCUAGAUUUGCAAGAUCAGAAGCAGGUCUUGAUCCUCCUGCCCAGAAUGAACCAGACUUGAUGAUGAUGCCACCUUCAGGAGCCACCACACUGUGUUACAGUGGGGCAUUUGGGCCGUCCCUGGGAAGUACAGAUGCGCUGCUGUCACACAUGUCCACCACCACAUGUGACAUUAGUGACGUUAUCCUGAUGUCACAGGAUCCAAGAAUGAUGAUCUGUGAAGAGUUUUCCGAGGUCACCUACUUCUAACUGUUUUGAAAGAUUUAAAGACAUUGGGCCUGAAAAUUUCAGUGACUUGUCCAGGGAAACGCAGUUUGUGACAGUUCACUCUCUCACAAGUAAGUUACCAAAAGCAUCUAUCAAAAGGGCCUUUUGAGAAAUACUUCCCAGCUGAAAUGACCAAUUAAAAAUUCCUGCCUUAAAUCCUCCCAUCUCUUUUACUAGGCUUUCCGUGGAUUGUGUAUACCGGGGGUUAAAUAGUAUUACUGAGAAAAAUAGAUAAAUGAUGCAUACUGAGUAUUUUUCUGCUAAGUUAACUUUAAUGAAGGAAUAGUGUCGUGUCGUUUGGCGUACUUUAAUUCAACUAAUCGGUUGUUUUUAUUUCUUUCUGUUAUUCAGAAGGACGCAUGCGUUAUUGUUAAAUCAAUCGAGUAAAGUUUAUGUUCACUCAGUAAAAAACUGCAGAUUUCAGCUCCAUGGUCAUUUCAGAAUCACACAAAGACAGGUGUUGCUGCCUGUCCAGGAUCCUUCUUGUGCCU
rnacentral:lncRNA from 1 species